CGGACGGACGGACGGACGACGGUUGGAUGAGGUUGAAGACGACUCUGCGAAGCCGUCAUUGGUGGGGGUUCCUGAGAGGACGCACUCAUCUAGGGCGGGAAGAUGUUCCGAAUCAAAUGACUCACAGCCCGAGGAGGCGGAAGAAAAAGACCCCUGGCUCCUGUCUGAGGCCGUGUUCUGCAGAAACACCCCCUGAGGGAGGAUUCGCAUGGAAGCCCCUGCUAUUGGCUAAACUGCGCCCCCCAAACUCCUGUGUGGAAGCCUUAGGCCCCACUGUGAUGGUAUUUGGAGGUGCAACCUUUGGGAGGAAAUUGGGGUUCCAUGAGGUCGUGAGGGUGGGGCCUUGUGAUGAUAUCAGGGCCCUUAUAGGAGAGACACUGGAGAACGUGGUCUCUUUCCGCCACGAGGACGUAGCAAGAAAGCAGCCAUAUGUGAACCAGGAGAAAGGCUUUCACCAGAACCUGCCACGAGGACGUAGCAAGAAAGCAGCCAUAUGUGAACCAGGAGAAAGGCUUCCACCAGAACCUGCCACGAGGACGUAGCAAGAAAGCAGCCAUAUGUGAACCAGGAGAAAGGCUUCCACCAGAACCUGCCAUGACGGCACCCUGAUCUUAGACCUCCGGCUUCCAAGACUACAAGAAAAAUAGUCUGCUGUUUGAGCUGCCCAGUUUGAGGUCUUUUGUUAUGCAGCCAAGCUGAUAGAUGCAGUGAUUAGGAGAAAGUGUCCCCAGGCUUGGCCUGGGACAGGGGAGGCAGACCCACCCACUGCCAAGGGGAAACCCUCCCCCCCGAUUCAGCACUUUUGGCAUCGCUGCUGCCCUCAUCUCCAGAGGUCCUCUGGGUGCCAUGGUACCCAGGCAGACCUAACAAGCAAAGGAGCAGGGCCCUAACACACCAGGGGCUGCAAGAGGCUACCCCAAGGCCACGGCCUCUGCUGCACCAGACGGGGCCACCGGCAGAUAGAGGGCUGUCACAGCUCUCCUGGAAGGACAGAGGGCCAAGGGCAGUUUGAUCAGAUGUCACCUACAUAUGUGGUGGGAGAGAGGGCAGGGAUAGACCCUGCAACACCUUGGCUUCUAGGGAAGAAGGAAGCUGAACGGGCCUGGCCAGCAGGAUUUGGGACUAUUCCACAAACGUGGUUUAGCAAAUGGUUGAUUCCCACCGGCAGCCUCAUCACACACACACACACACACACACACACACACACACACACACACACUCACACACUCCCCAGACCACAUGGCUCUUCCUGGGUGCUAAUAGCCACACCUGGUGUGUGGUGGCAGGCGUGCUGCCCUUCACGCAUUCGCUGGCAAGUGCUCGUGGACCUGCGUCUCCAGGUACUGGCUGAGGAGUUGGGGGGAGCAGUGUGGAAAUGGACUCAGCGUGCAGCAUGAGGGGCUGCCCAGGAGCCCACGGAUUCCCCAGCGGCAUCAUGUAGGUCGGGCCGCACGGGGUGAGGCGAGCGAGGCACCAGGGCUCAAUGCAAGGCAGCCUCACUCUCGGGCUCACACAGGUGCGCGGCCAGCAUCCCAGGUGAGAGAAACACAGGUGAGGAGCGUGGAAGGUAAAAAGACCUCACCAGGCCUGCGCCUGGAGCCUCUCGGGAAGAGGAGGAACGGGAGACGGGAGCAGGGGGCCCUCAGAGGAGGGAGCCCAGGCCCACAGGCAGCGGACAGCACAGCGGGAGGCCGGAGGGGAGCAGAGGCCAGAUGGCCUCAGACCACAGGGCGGCAGACCGUCGCAAGUGCAGCGGAUCACAGAACCUUCUAGAAGGGCUGCCUCUCAAGGGAAGCAGCUGUCAAUCAUCAGUGCAGUCCCAGCAGGGGGUGAACUUCUCCGUACCUCACCGAGCUCCCAGGACAAAGUGUGCUUGGUCUGAAGCAGUCUGCGGAGAAGGUAGCGUGUCAUUUAUCUUCUAGAGGGAAAUGCUGAUUUCUUCCGGGGCAGUUUCCCUCCAGUAGAAAACAAAGCUGGAACACAUAACACAUUCCCCCCCCACACACACUCACUCAUAUGCAAAUUAAAAAUUAGCAUUAUGAUGCGAGGAAGGGGGUUAGGAAAGGAAAGGUGGAGAGAAGGGCGCCCUGGAGCCUUGUGACCCAGUGUGACAGGAGGCUGUGGAUUCUAACCUUCUGUCGAGGACACCAUAGGUACCUGGACUUUGGCCUCGUAUAGGGACAAGAUCUAGAAGGCGACACAGACCAGUAAAACUGUUUGGAUUUAGGGAAGGGGCUGUGGCCAGUUUUUGCUCUGGGUUUCUAUUAUUUUGAUAUAAGUCCUUCAAUAAUGAAAUAAAAAUUCAAAAGGCAUAAGGCAGGCAAUGGACUUUAGCAAAGGUUUUGAGACAGCUGAUGCCUUGCCAUAGAUUUCAAAAUACCAGGUUACCCAGUAAGCCCUAAAUUACAACUUAGGGAAGGUAUGUGAAUGGCCGUUCACUUAACUGGUCACCACAGGUGCACUUACUAUUUGCAGGACCCAUGAAGGGAACCCAGAGACACGCCAAGAAGUAGGAGCUGCAGGCCUGGUGUCCUCCCUG